rnacentral:rRNA from 1 species
CCUACGGGGGGCUGCAGUGGGGAAUAUUGGACAAUGGGCGAAAGCCUGAUCCAGCCAUGCCGCGUGUGUGAAGAAGGCCAUCGGGUUGUAAAGCACUUUCAGUGGGGAAGAAAGCCUUGGGGCUAAUACCCUCGAGGAAGGACAUCACCCACAGAAGAAGCACCGGCUAACUCCGUGCCAGCAGCCGCGGUAAUACGGAGGGUGCGAGCGUUAAUCGGAAUUACUGGGCGUAAAGCGCGCGUAGGCGGUCUGAUAAGCCGGUUGUGAAAGCCCCGGGCUCAACCUGGGAACGGCAUCCGGAACUGUCAGGCUAGAGUGCAGGAGAGGAAGGUAGAAUUCCCGGUGUAGCGGUGAAAUGCGUAGAGAUCGGGAGGAAUACCAGUGGCGAAGGCGGCCUUCUGGACUGACACUGACGCUGAGGUGCGAAAGCGUGGGUAGCAAACAGGAUUAGAUACCCGAGUAGUC